AAAACUUUUAACAACGGAUCUCUUGGCUCUGGCAUCGAUGAAGAACGUAGCGAAAUGCGAUAAGUAAUGUGAAUUGCAGAAUCCAGCGAAUCAUCGAAUCUUUGAACGCACAUUGCGCCCGCCAGCACUCUGGCGGGCAUGCCUGUCCGAGCGUCAUUUCAACCC
rnacentral:rRNA from 1 species